rnacentral:rRNA from 1 species
UACGAAGGGGGCUAGCGUUGCUCGGAAUCACUGGGCGUAAAGCGCACGUAGGCGGCUUUCUAAGUCAGGGGUGAAAUCCUGGAGCUCAACUCCAGAACUGCCUUUGAUACUGGAAAGCUUGAGUUCGGGAGAGGUGAGUGGAGCUGCGAGUGUAGAGGUGAAAUUCGUAGAUAUUCGCAAGAACACCAGUGGCGAAGGCGGCUCACUGGCCCGAUACUGACGCUGAGGUGCGAAAGCGUGGGGAGCAAACAGG